UUUACUUUUAUUAUGCUGCUGGAAGUUUUGUGAAGGGGUGCAGACAUCCCACAACUAAAAUAUUCAACAUACAGUAUACUGUACUAUACCCCUCUCUUCAGGGGGUAACUAAUGAAGAGCAAACUUUUCAUCUCCAAAAUAUUCCACUGUCUUUGGUUGGAACUCAUAAUGUUGUUGGAGGAAAUUUGUGACGAGGUGCAGACUCCAUCCUCUUCAGAUAUUCAAUAUUCUCUUUCUUUGGAAUAGUGGAGUUAGUAGAUGAAGAGUGGGUAGACUUUCCUUCCCUGAAAUAUUCAAACUAUAUCAAAAAGUGCAAUUCAUAUUGCAUCAAGAGAUUGUCUAUUGCAGUACAGUAUAGACCUUUGGCUCGGGAGUGUUCCUAUUAAUGCUUCUAGUUCACUUCCAUAAAUGUACUGGAGGUUCUACAGUACAGUAUAUAUGGGAUGAAGUACAGAGGUCCCAUCUUUGGAUUACAUAGUGGUAAUAAAUGACGAGGAGUGGACUUGCCUUUUCUAAAACGUUUACCUGUAUCUUCAGUUGAAACUCAUAAUGCAUCAAGAGAUUGUCUAUUGCAGUACAGUAUAGACCUUUGGCUCGGGAGUGUUCCUAUUAAUGCUUCUAGUUCACUUCCAUAAAUGUGCUGGAGGUUCUACAGUACACUAUAUAUGGGAUGAAGUACAGAGGUCCCACCUUUGGAUUACAUAGUGGUAAUAAAUGACGAGGAGUGGACUUGCCUUUUCUAAAACGUUUACCUGUAUCUUCAGUUGAAACUCAUAAUGCAUCAAGAGAUUGUCUAUUGCAGUACAGUAUAGACCUUUGGCUCGGGAGUGUUCCUAUUAAUGCUUCUAGUUCACUUCCAUAAAUGUACUGGAGGUUCUACAGUACACUAUAUAUGGGAUGAAGUACAGAGGUCCCACCUUUGGAUUACAUAGUGGUAAUAAAUGACGAGGAGUGGACUUGCCUUUUCUAAAACGUUUACCUGUAUCUUCAGUUGAAACUCAUAAUGCAUCAAGAGAUUGUCUAUUGCAGUACAGUAUAGACCUUUGGCUCGGGAGUGUUCCUAUGAAUGCUUCUAGUUCACUUCCAUAAAUGUACUGGAGGUUCUACAGUACACUAUAUAUGGGAUGAAGUACAGAGGUCCCACCUUUGGAUUACAUAGUGGUAAUAAAUGACGAGGAGUGGACUUGCCUUUUCUAAAACGUUUACCUGUAUCUUCAGUUGAAACUCAUAAUGCAUCAAGAGAUUGUCUAUUGCAGUACAGUAUAGACCUUUGGCUCGGGAGUGUUCCUAUUAAUGCUUCUAGUUCACUUCCAUAAAUGUACUGGAGGUUCUACAGUACACUAUAUAUGGGAUGAAGUACAGGGGUCCCACCUUUGGAUUACAUAGUGGUAAUAAAUGACGAGGAGUAGACUUGUCUUUUCUUAAACGUUUACCUGUAUCUUCAGUUGAAACUCAUAAUGCAUCAAGAGAUUGUCUAUUGCAGUACAGUAUAGACCUUUGGCUCGGGAGUGUUCCUAUUAAUGCUUCUAGUUCACUUCCAUAAAUGUACUGGAGGUUCUACAGUACACUAUAUAUGGGAUGAAGUACAGAGGUCCCACCUUUGGAUUACAUAGUGGUAAUAAAUGACGAGGAGUGGACUUGCCUUUUCUAAAACGUUUACCUGUAUCUUCAGUUGAAACUCAUAAUGCAUCAAGAGAUUGUCUAUUGCAGUACAGUAUAGACCUUUGGCUCGGGAGUGUUCCUAUUAAUGCUUCUAGUUCACUUCCAUAAAUGUACUGGAGGUUCUACAGUACACUAUAUAUGGGAUGAAGUACAGAGGUCCCACCUUUGGAUUACAUAGUGGUAAUAAAUGACGAGGAGUGGACUUGCCUUUUCUAAAACGUUUACCUGUAUCUUCAGUUGAAACUCAUAAUGCAUCAAGAGAUUGUCUAUUGCAGUACAGUAUAGACCUUUGGCUCGGGAGUGUUCCUAUUAAUGCUUCUAGUUCACUUCCAUAAAUGUACUGGAGGUUCUACAGUACACUAUAUAUGGGAUGAAGUACAGAGGUCCCACCUUUGGAUUACAUAGUGGUAAUAAAUGACGAGGAGUGGACUUGCCUUUUCUAAAACGUUUACCUGUAUCUUCAGUUGAAACUCAUAAUGCAUCAAGAGAUUGUCUAUUGCAGUACAGUAUAGACCUUUGGCUCGGGAGUGUUCCUAUUAAUGCUUCUAGUUCACUUCCAUAAAUGUACUGGAGGUUCUACAGUACACUAUAUAUGGGAUGAAGUACAGAGGUCCCACCUUUGGAUUACAUAGUGGUAAUAAAUGACGAGGAGUGGACUUGCCUUUUCUAAAACGUUUACCUGUAUCUUCAGUUGAAACUCAUAAUGCAUCAAGAGAUUGUCUAUUGCAGUACAGUAUAGACCUUUGGCUCGGGAGUGUUCCUAUGAAUGCUUCUAGUUCACUUCCAUAAAUGUACUGGAGGUUCUACAGUACACUAUAUAUGGGAUGAAGUACAGAGGUCCCACCUUUGGAUUACAUAGUGGUAAUAAAUGACGAGGAGUGGACUUGCCUUUUCUAAAACGUUUACCUGUAUCUUCAGUUGAAACUCAUAAUGCAUCAAGAGAUUGUCUAUUGCAGUACAGUAUAGACCUUUGGCUCGGGAGUGUUCCUAUUAAUGCUUCUAGUUCACUUCCAUAAAUGUACUGGAGGUUCUACAGUACACUAUAUAUGGGAUGAAGUACAGAGGUCCCACCUUUGGAUUACAUAGUGGUAAUAAAUGACGAGGAGUGGACUUGCCUUUUCUAAAACGUUUACCUGUAUCUUCAGUUGAAACUCAUAAUGCAUCAAGAGAUUGUCUAUUGCAGUACAGUAUAGACCUUUGGCUCGGGAGUGUUCCUAUUAAUGCUUCUAGUUCACUUCCAUAAAUGUACUGGAGGUUCUACAGUACACUAUAUAUGGGAUGAAGUACAGAGGUCCCACCUUUGGAUUACAUAGUGGUAAUAAAUGACGAGGAGUGGACUUGCCUUUUCUAAAACGUUUACCUGUAUCUUCAGUUGAAACUCAUAAUGCAUCAAGAGAUUGUCUAUUGCAGUACAGUAUAGACCUUUGGCUCGGGAGUGUUCCUAUUAAUGCUUCUAGUUCACUUCCAUAAAUGUACUGGAGGUUCUACAGUACACUAUAUAUGGGAUGAAGUACAGAGGUCCCACCUUUGGAUUACAUAGUGGUAAUAAAUGACGAGGAGUGGACUUGCCUUUUCUAAAACGUUUACCUGUAUCUUCAGUUGAAACUCAUAAUGCAUCAAGAGAUUGUCUAUUGCAGUACAGUAUAGACCUUUGGCUCGGGAGUGUUCCUAUUAAUGCUUCUAGUUCACUUCCAUAAAUGUACUGGAGGUUCUACAGUACACUAUAUAUGGGAUGAAGUACAGGGGUCCCACCUUUGGAUUACAUAGUGGUAAUAAAUGACGAGGAGUAGACUUGUCUUUUCUUAAACGUUUACCUGUAUCUUCAGUUGAAACUCAUAAUGCUUCAUUGAAGAUUUCUACCUCCAAAUUAUUCAUAUGCAUCCUAGCUUUGCCUCUGGUUCAGAUUCACAAUGUGGCUGGAGAUGCUACUGACAUGGGCUUCCUUCAUAUUAAAUGCAUAUCAAAUGAGCUCUUGAUUAUUAUAAUGGUUAGUACCGUACAAGUUGAUCUGAACAUAAUUUUUAAUACAUACCUCUAUUCAGUGUGUCUCAGUUGAGUGGUCUGAGUAAAGGUCACAACUGUUCAAACUAAGUUACUCAAGGGACUUCUUUGUGAUAUAAAAGCUCUGUUGAUUUAUAUUGCUCACUAAAUUCAUUAAUUAGGACAAUGUCAGCUUUUCUGUAACUGGAAGACCAAUAAAGAAAUUGUAGUGAAA